rnacentral:rRNA from 1 species
GCGCGAAAACUUUACAAUGCGGGAAACCGUGAUAAGGGGAACUCUGAGUGCCCGUAAAAUCGGGCUGUCCAUCAGUUUAAAUAACUGGUGAAGAAAGGGCCGGGCAAGACCGGUGCCAGCCGCCGCGGUAAUACCGGCGGCUCGAGUGGUGGCCACUAUUACUGGGCUUAAAGCGUUCGUAGCUGGUUUGUUAAGUCUCUGGGGAAAUCUUCCGGCUUAACCGGAAGGCGUCUCAGGGAUACUGGCAGACUAGGGACCGGAAGAGGUGAGAGGUACUCCAGGGGUAGGAGUGAAAUCCUGUAAUCCUUGGGGGACCACCUGUGGCGAAGGCGUCUCACCAGAACGGACCUGACGGCAAGGGACGAAAGCUAGGGGCACGAACCGGAUUAGAUACCCGGGUAGUCCUAGCCGUAAACGAUACUCGCUAGGUGUCGGCCACGGUGCGACCGUUGUCGGUGCCGUAGGGAAGCCGUGAAGCGAGCCACCUGGGAAGUACGGCCGCAAGGCUGAAACUUAAAGGAAUUGGGACGGGGGAGCACCACAACGGGGUGAGCUUGCGGUUUAAUUGGAUUCAACG